AUAAGGAGGGCAAGAACAAGCCACAUUCCAGCACCUUCCGAGCUGACCGCUUGGGCCCAAAAUGUCCCUCACAAGCAUGUGAAUGGCAGAAGUUGAGGACAAAAGGCACUUCGGUUCAAGAAUGCAUCACCUAAUUAUUUGGUCUGCAUAAUGUUUCUGUAACAUCCCAGAUACCUGGUGGGUUAAAAUAGCCUGAUAAUAGAAACAGAUAUGAGUGCAAGUAAUAAAAUAUUUUUUCAACGGAAAAU
rnacentral:lncRNA from 1 species